rnacentral:lncRNA from 1 species
AAGGUCCACCUACAACACAACUAUUGGAUUUCUUUUGGCUGUUAUGCUCUCUUGCUAUAAAACAGAUCCAAGGAGAGGACUGAAAGAAUUCUAAUAUUGAAAUUUUUUACAUAUACUUGGAUUCAAUUGUUUUCGUUAAUCAUCUUUCAGAGAUCUUUAGUUGUUAGGAAGGCUAAUAAAUUCUUUCAUUCUUUGCACUGCUUCUGGCAAGCCCUUUGCUCCCUAAGGAAUGAAACAACACUUACAAGAAUGAAACAAAUUUGAUUUUAAAAUGAUGCUUACUUUUAUUAUUAUCAGUAGUUCUGAGCAAUAAGUGAUUUCUGGGCAUGAACAUUAUAUUUGGAUAUUGAAAUAUGCAUAUUUCUUCUUCUUCUUCCUCCCAACUAAAGACUAUUUCCUUGGUUCUUUUCAGCAGCAAAAGGAGACUGAAAGAAUGAUUGCUGUAUGCACAGACACAACUCAGAAGGUAGAUUCUAGCUACCUUUAUUCUUAUACAAAUCCUUUAGAUUAUGCUCGGAGCAAGAGUUGAAGAAGGGCCAGAUUAUUGUGUAAUCACUCCUCCAUCCGAGAAAUUAAACUAGACAGCAAUCGUGAUGAUCGCUGAAUGGCCUUGGCAUUCUCUCUUGCAGCCUUCCCUGACUUGAUUUGAAGUUGUCGACAAAGAAUAACUGAGAGAGGUUCAUCCCACUGUCAUUAAAACAAGAGAAUAAAGCAAAUUCAGCCUUGCAUUUGAUGUCAGCUUUUAAUCUUUGAUAGUCUCCUAUCAUGGGCAAGUUGAGUUUGCCAUGAUAGCUUCCUAAAGUGUAACUCCUUUUUCUGCUUAGAGCGAUGGAUGACAUGGUGUUUAAUUCUUGCCAUGAAGACUGUAAUAUUAAACAGAAUGAAACUCAACUGAGGAUUGAUUCAUUGAAUAUUUCAAGGGCUCUCACCAUUUUUUUCUUUGAGGCCUGCAACACAGAUUUGCCUUCCAUGUCUAUGAAAACAGGGAAUUUUCUUUUAUAUUUUGCACACAUACAAUUUCAGUUGAAACAUUAUUGUGAGAACUUGGAAAAGAAGUUAGUAUAAUCUAUGGAGCGGCAGUUUAGAUUGCCGUAACAAUAAGAGGAAGAAGCCGACAAUGGCAGCGGAUUCAGUAACCAGAAGGGAACUUGUUUGAAAGGGAUAGCUACGGUUGAUCAUGGGAUAAGCGUAUUUUCCAUAAAUGAUAGAAAAACAUGCACUUUUUACUAGUUCCUGGUUACAUUAACUAGCCAGGCAUGGAACUUGUUGCCUAUUUGCCAGCUCUAAAGUAAGGACAACUUAAAGACAGCUUCCUUUCCACCAGAUCCUCACAUGGGGUUGGUGGAAGCCGUGAGGAAAUUCAAUGCUAGAAAUUGUCACAUGUUUUUCAAGAACAAGGAUGAAGAUGAAGAUGAUGGGUGAAGGGGCAAUGCGUAAGGAGGUUUUUGGUCAGAGUUUGGUGUAAAUCUUGAAGCUCACUCCUCUUUAAUUUUGAUGGGCUUGUAAAUGAAGUAAAGCUUUGUUUGAACAAGCUUAGUGUAAUUCUUUCUUCAGAUUUUAACAAUGUGAAUUGCUAUCUACAAUCCACAUGAUGCUAGCUUAGCUUACAUAAAUUACAAUCCAAGAUUUCUAUAGAAAAUUCCAGAGGAAAGUUGGUUGCUUUUGCCUUACACUGCAAUAAUAAUAAUAAUAAUAACUACAGUAUUUGUAG